rnacentral:rRNA from 1 species
AUUGAACGCUGGCGGCAGGCCUAACACAUGCAAGUCGAGCGAGCGGCGGACGGGUGAGAAAUGUCUGGGAAACUGCCUGAUGGAGGGGGAUAACUACUCGAAAAGGUAGCUAAUACCGCAUACCAUCAGAUGUGCCCAGAUGGGAUUAGCUAGAAGGUGGGGUAACGGCUCACCUAGGCGACGAGCCCUAGCUGGUCUGAGAGGCGGACCAGCCACACUGGAACUGAGACACGGUCCAGACGCCUACGGGAGGCAGCAGUGGGGAAUAUUGCACAAUGGGCGCAAGCCUGAUGCAGCCAUGCCGCGUGUGUGAAGAAGGCCUUCGGGUUGUAAAGCACUUUCAGCGGGGAGGCGUUACCCGCAGAAGAAGCACCGGCGAACUCCGUGCCAGCAGCCGCGGUAAUAC